UGGUGAGCUCGACGCAAUGGUUGAAGGCUAUAAAUUCAACCAAGGUGGAGAAUGUUAGGAAUUGGUUAGAUUUGCAGAUUAAUUAUAGUUGGAUUAGGAUUAAUAUUUAAAUCUGUUGGAGAUAAAUUAGGAUUUAAAUAUUAAUUAGAGAAUGAAUCUAACUAGAUUAGGAUAAAUAUUUAAAUCUAUUGGAGAUAAAUCAAUUAAGAUUUAAAUAUUUAUUGGAGUAGGAAACCUAAAUAUAUUAGAAUUGGGUACAUUCUUGAUGGAGCAUUAUAUAUAAUGCAUUAGAGUCUCUUUUCGGGGUGAGUACGACAGAGAAAAAAAAAGUGCUCUUGGGGUGUCGUACCAGAGAGAGAAAAAGAGAGAGAGAGUUAUUUAGUGCAUCUAGUGCACGGGUGCACAUAGAUGGAUUGUCUUUUAGGUUUAUAAAAGACGAGAGAAGGGUAGGAGAGAUUCAAGAAAGAGGGCUCGGGUUGUAGCUACUCUAUGCAGAAGAGGAGUCAGGUGUAAUCUUCUCUUAUUUAAUAAAUCUUAUUUUACCUGCAUAUUUUUCUCUUUUAUGAUUGUAUCACCUUUUGCUGAGGAGACGGGUUUAUGGUAAAAACCCGAUUUGACGUUUUCGUUACAGAAUCCCAACGAUCGAUACCGGAUCCACAGCAGUCGGUAUCGGAGCGGGUUGCGGAUUCACGAGAUCCGGUACCGGGGCGAGUACCGGAUUCCCAACACACUUGUCUCCGGAUCCGCCCCAUUUGGAUCCCUACUAGGGAUAUAUACUAAUGGAUAUGGAUGCCUCAUAUUUUAUCCGAAUUCGAAUCUGAUAGAGAUGACUUUAAUUGAAGCUCGAAGGUUUUGAUUAAUUACAGGGAUAGAAAUUCAGAACCCAAUGGCUACGAUUUUGCUUACGGCUUUUGCUCAGGUUUAAAUCAAAUCCGUAAGUGAAUUUCAGAUUGAAAUGGACUUUUGGGUGAAUUAAAGUUUCGGUAAUUUUUUUUUGUACCGUUUGUUUUUAUAGUCUUGGAAUUGCAGUUCUUUCAAUUUUGUUGUUUAUUUGGUAAAAAUAACUAACGUAAAAGCUGAAAAUUUUUACUAUUAGUAUUUUAUUAUUUUUGCAUUUUGGAGAGUUUGAGUUCAACCAAAGGUGAAGCUAUGGAAACUCAAAUAACGAAAGUAAGCAUUUACAGUCGAAAAACCAUCUCAUCCCCUUCCAUCUUCGGUAAAAUGAACAUACCCUGAAGCUUAGGUUGUUUUCGAUUAUGAGGGUAAAUUCAGAACCCAAUAGUUAUAAUUUCGGUUACAGCUUUUGCUCGGACUCAAACCGAAUGUGAACUCUGUAAGCUUGUUUGUUUCGUUGAAAGUAAAAUUCAAAUUGAAAUAGAUUUUUGGGAGGAGCAGCAAAAGGAGAAAGGCAAUAAAGUAAAUGGUAUUGUAUUGUGUUCACAACUGCCAAAAAAAAAAGAAGAUUACCAAGAUGCACGCAUCACCAUGUCAAUUUUUUUAAAAAUAUUUUUCCAGCUAAAAUGCUGAAUUUUUUUUUUAUAAAUAUCUGCUUUUUUGAUUUGAUGUCAUAUAGUUCAAAAACAACUAUUGUAUCAUUUAGUACCUGUUUGACCUAACUUUUAAAAAAUAAUUUUGGAUCCAAAAAUAAUUUUUGUCUCAAUAGUAUGUUUGGCAAUCUCCUUUUAAUCUGCUUUUGAUUUUUAGCAUUAUUUUUUUAAUUUUCGAAGCCCAAAAUCGAAAGCAAUUAAAAUCCGCUUUUUGAAAUCUGACUCUCAUUUUGAAUUCAAUUUUUUAAAUUUUAUUUUGAUUUUAUAUUAAAUUUUAAAUUUUAAAUUUUAAAUUUAAAAAUUUCAAAUUUAUAAUUUAGAUAUUAAAUUCCAAAAUUUAAAAUUUUAAAUAUCAAAAUUUAAAUUUAAUAUAAAUUUUAAAUUUUGAAUUUUUAGAAUUUAAAAUUUUAAAUGUUUAAAUUUAAAUUAUGUGAUUUAGUUUUCGCAUUAUAAAUUUAAAUUUAAAAUUUUUUAAAAUUUAAAAUUUUAAUUUUGGAUAUAAAUUUUAAAUGUUCAAAUUUUCAAUUUUAAAUAUUAAAUAUUUGAAUUUUAAAUUUUAAAUUUCAAAAUUUAAAUUCAAAUUUAAAAUUUUAAAAUUUAGGUUUCAAAUUUUAAAUUCAUAUUUUAAAUUUAAAAUUAAAAAUUAAAAAUAAUAAUUAAAUAUUUAUGAUGUCAUGUUAACGUCAUUGGUUCAACUAGUGGUUGACCGACCGACUGAACCAGUGACUCUUUGUCCAUUAAUAUUUUCAGGUCGCUAUUCGACCUGAUUUUUAGAACAUUGGAAAUCAGUUAUUUGAUAAUAACUUAUUUGGUAUGAAUUUUUUUUAUAUAAUUAGAAAAUAGGAAUUUAAUUUUUAUUCUUAAAAAAGUUUUGACAUUCAUAAUUUAAUAGGAUUUUAUUUUUUACCUACAAGGUGUUUUAUCUUAAUCCGAUGAAUAAUUUGAAAGAUAACCCUCUUAUCUCCCCUCUUGUACCCAAUCCAAACGCCCUCUUAGUAUUUUUACGUUGUAUCCGAUAAUAGAGCAUACAAAAUGGACUAUUGACAACCCUAAAUAUGAUCUACGUAUCACGAACUACCUAAAUACCAAAAUUUAUAAUUUAUUAUUAUUAAUUUCUUAUUUUUCAAGUGAUUUCAAAACCAACCAAUUUCAAAGGCAUAUUUACAAGAUAUGCUUGGGACCACUUGAUACGUAAUACUGAAGGAUUACAAAAUUUGAUUCUUAUAAAGUUCAUAAGAAAUAUAUAAUAUUUAUCUAUGUCGAUCAUAAAUUGGGAGAUAUCAUUGUCGAGAACUAGCACGAGAAGUAUCAAAAAGUUAAAACUUCUAGAAAUAUAUAUAUGGUGCAGUAUUUGUCAAGAAUUUAAGUGCCGUAGCACGGAGUCAUGCUGAAAAUUUGCUGGCACAGUACGACACAGUGUGUGCCGGACCAUGCCGAUGCGUGCCGGUCACAAAAAUUCAUUUGUGCCAACACAUAAUAAUAUGAAAUAUUUAUUUUCUUUAGCAACAAAAUAUUCUAACUGUUUAUUAAGUUUUUUUAUCAAAUUUUUUAAACUUUAUUAAGAAAAUUACUUACUAAUUUAAAUAAUAGAAAGUUUUGAACUAUGUUAUCAGUACAGAAACUGUAUCGUGUCAAUACUUAUUGGAACGAUACGACACGAUAGAGACAAUCCGUACCGACAAAUAUUUAAAUUCUUGAUUAUGGAGAAGACUUUUCCCUACUUUUUUUGCUUGCAUCAUGUAGGACAUCAUAAAACUUUCAUCGGGACAUUUGAAUGGUUUGAUUUUCCGUUAUUCACGUCUGACGUCAGCAGUGUUUGGUUAGGGGAUAGGGAUAGGGAUAGGCCCUUAUCCCCCCUUUAUACCUAAAUGUUAAUUUUUUAUCCGAAAACAGUAGUUCUCGGUUACCUAUAAUAACCGGUUAUAACUAUCUCCACCAACACUUCUAUUUUUUAUAUAAAACUGCCUAAUAUUUUUCUUAUUCUAUAUUUUAUAUCUAUCCAAACGCUAUUUUUUUUUUAUCCCCGGGAACAACCUAAUUUUCAUCCAAACGCUAUUUUUCUUAUUCCCAUACUUAUACCUAUCUUUAUAAUAGUUAGUUCUUACUUAUACCCGAACCAAACGGUACCGUGAAGUACUAGCAGUGGGCACAUGCAUGCAGUGCAAAUUAACUUUUAGCCACCAUUUGGUUGGGGGUUAAGGGGUGGAAUAACCCCUUAACCCCCAAUUUAUACCCAAACACCACUCUUUUGGGGUGGGGUUAGUAAACCCCACCCCAAACCGGGUUAGUGGGGUUUACUAACCCCACUCCCCCUCCCAACUUUAACCCCGCACGCAUCCCGAGUCCUCAUCUUUUUCUUCUUUAUCAAUCAUUAACCCCACUCCCCCUCCCAACUUUAACCCCGCACGCAUCCCGAGCUCUCACCUUUUUCUUCUUUAUCAAUCAUUAUCUUCUUAUCCCACCUACUCAAACCAAACACUUUUUUUCACUAUUCUAGACUAACUCCAACCUCCAACCAAACACAAAAAAAUUUUAACACCAUUUUAACCCUGAACUUAACCCUAUCCCUGGAAUAGCUACUUUUUCUUAACCCCGAACCAAACGGUGGCUUAGGAAAAACUUCAAAAACCCCCCCUGUGGUUUCGUGCUUUUUCACUUUAGUACCCUGUGGUUUAAAGUGUAUCAAUUUACCCCCCUAUGGUUUCGUUUUUAUCUUUUCGAUAGUUUUUUCGUUAAUAUUUUAUUAAAUUAUAUGCAAAAAACUUCAGAUACUCAUCUAAAUUUAUCGAAUAUUCACUAUAGUACCUUUUAAUUUUAACUUUGUCAUUAAUUUAAGAAAAAAAUAAUAAUAAAAUUGAUAAUAAAAAGAGAAAAACGAGACCACAGGGGGGCAAAAUGAUACAUUUUAAACCACGGGGUACUAAAAUGAGAAACUGCAAAACCACAGGAGGAUUUUUUGAAGUUUUUCCCUGACUUUUAAGAGGGAUAACGACUUCAUAUGUUGGAUUCAUACAUUUAUGUGAUGUGAUAUGUUAGGCGCCUAUUCAUUUAUAUUAUUCACACUUAAAAUUAUCAAGUAUAUUGUUCACAUACACCUAAAUUUAUAACUACCAUUUUCAAUCGUUCUAAGAUUCACAUGCACUCACGUAUGUCACAAGCAUCGGCAUAUGCCUAGUUGCUCUUUAUUUGCCGAUGCUUCUGAGUAUCAAUUUAAUAACUAUAGUAAAAGUAAUAAAAAAAAAGGUACUAUAAAAAAAAUGGUCUAUACCGACACUUUUAAAUAUAGGUACAUGUCAAAAAAGUACUGCUAGCUAAAAUUACCGACACUUUUAAAAAGUAUUUCUAUAUGUGGGGUCGCUAAGUAUAUAGUGACAGUUAAAGAGUGUCGCUAUAAUCUAAAAGAGUGCUGCUAAUUUACCAACACUUACUUAAGCAUUUAGCAACCGUCGAAACUCUAUCUCGUUGGCUGCGGUGGUGGAGGAGGACGACAGUAAAGGCUCUUCAUCUAGAAUUUCAAUGGAUUGAGUGAAGAGAGAAGAAAAGAUGGUAAUUAAUUUUUCUUUUUUUUUUUCUUUUCUGUUUGUAAUCGGGCCAACUGGACUGGGUGUGGUGGGUUGAGUAGAGUAAUCUUUUAUUUUUGGUUGGAUUGGGCUUUAUAUUUAGGCAUUAGUAGAUGUGUUUUUAAGUUUUAGCAUAAAUGGAACACUUACUCAAAAGUGUCCUAAACAUGUGUUUCUAUAACCUAAUUCUGUUAUAGUGAGAGGAAAAAAUAUCAAUUUCUAAUAAGGUCCACUAAAUUAUAUACGAAUCUAGUUUUGUUGACACGGGAGAUAAUAGAUAGGCCAAUAAAUUAUUUCCCAUCUCCUCCACAUGUUUUCAAUUUAAUUCAUUCCUAUCAUCUUCUCUCUUCAUCUUUAAACUUUAUUUGAAAAAUAAAUAUGCCAGUUAAUUUGUAGAUUGGUCGAUUCUGAAAAGAAUGGAGGCAUUUUAUUCCAAAAGGUUAAAAUUCCGAGAAAUAAAGUUCAUGGGGAUAUGUUGGAAAUUGGAUCAUUUUAUAAGGAUAUAUAUGCAAAAAGAAGGGAAAAAAAAGUUUGAAAUGUCUAUAAUAAUUUAGUUAUAAAAAAUAUAAGAUGGAAGAGAGUAAGAAGAGGUAUUAGUGUUUACUGAUGGAUACUUAGAACUUGUUUGGUUCACUUAUUUUAAACUCUGGAAUCAGAAUGAGUUUAGCUGAUUUUGAUAGUUGUUAUUUGGAGAUAUCGAACAGGUUGCAUUUUUAUAUAUUUUUGGUUCCCACUUGCAGUCUCAUUCGGGGCAGAUCAUACUGGGAGCUCCACAAACUCAUAUCCAUUUGCAUUUCUUAUCACUCUUCUUUUUUUUACCGAAAACUUUCUUUGAAAAUUAUAGGUCUCUAUUCCGAUUUCCAAUUUAAUAACGAAUCAAAAACUUUUAUAUAAUGCGUUAUUUAAUUUUUCAUUCUAAUACAAUUCAAUUUUAUUUUUCAUUUCCACAACAAUUUGAACCAAAUAUGCCCUCAAAUAUUUUGUAAAACUAUUUGAGUGAAAAAAUUGAAAUAAAGUAACUAAAAUAAUUUGAAUAAGCUAACAAAAAAAAUUUUAAAAAAAAUUAAGGAAGUGAGGAAGUGGGUGGUUAGGUAACAUGUCUCCCUUCGAGAUUCCCUAAAUUUGCAUAAAUGCAUUACUCUAAUUGAAUAGUAUACUGAUAAAUAGAAAAAGAAAAAAUUACUUAAUUAUAUAUUUGGUCCUCAAACUAUGAUACACGUGACACUUUAAUUUUCAAACUUUAAUUUGUUAUAAUCGUUGGCUCGAACUUUAUAAAUUAUUAUAAUUAAAUCCCAUAAUCUAAUAUAGGCUAAAUUACAGAAAAUUUUUCUGUCAAAAUCUGAUUUUUUAUUUUUUCCUCCUGUCAUUUAAAAACGUACAUUUUGGUCCCUUGUGAAAUGAAAAAUAUUUAUUUUAUCCCCUACUGUUAAUGAUCCGCUAGAGUUCUGUUAUAAAAUCUUUUUUAUGCCAAAAAUACCCUCCGCCGUUUCUACUGUGCUUCGCCCUCCUCCGCCUCACCGCCUCGCCCUCCUUCACUACGUUGCCCUUGCCUACAUCUCCGUCCGCGCUCAGAAACACCCUCUCGCCCUCCUUCGCCGCCUCGCCUUCGCUCUCGUUGCCCUUGCCUACCUUUUCAUCCACGCCCACCUCGAUAUCCUCCCUACCGUUGCCGAAAUGGAGGGGCGACGAGGGUGCGGAGGAGAAGGGGAGCAGGUGGAGAAGAAAAUGGAGAGGAACCAUGGCGAAUCGAGGCGCGAACUACGGUCGAUCGAGGUAGCGGAUGAGUGAGAUGAGGGAGGAGACGAAAAUGGUGAGGGGCAAAAUGGUCAUUUUGUCAUCACAUUUCACACUGUACCUCCUGUGAAUAUUUUUCAUUUUACGAGGGGACAAAGUGUAGGUUUUAAAAUGACAGGAGAAAAAAGUAAAAAAUCGGAUUAUGACAGAAAAAUUUUAUAUAAUUUAGCCUCUAAUAUAAUUGACUAAAUAUUGACAUUUCAUUCAUACAAAAGCGAUAUGACAUCUUAGUAUUAUUCUGUUAUUAAUUGCAAUACUAUUACAUCACUUUUACAUUACCAACACAUCAACAUUUGGCCAGUUAAAUUGUGUUUAAUGGCUUAAUUGCAAUAACUCACAAAGUUCGAACCAGAAAUUACAAUAAAUUAAAAUUUA
rnacentral:lncRNA from 1 species